rnacentral:rRNA from 1 species
UACGAAGGGGGCUAGCGUUGCUCGGAAUCACUGGGCGUAAAGGGUGCGUAGGCGGGUUUUAAGUCAGAGGUGAAAUCCUGGAGCUCAACUCCAGAACUGCCUUUGAUACUGAAAGUCUUGAGUAUGGGAGAGGUGAGUGGAACUGCGAGUGUAGAGGUGAAAUUCGUAGAUAUUCGCAAGAACACCAGUGGCGAAGGCGGCUCACUGGCCCAUAACUGACGCUGAGGCACGAAAGCGUGGGAGCAAACAGG